AUUGAACGCUGGCGGCAUGCUUUACACAUGCAAGUCGAACGGUAACAGGGUGCUUGCACCGCUGACGAGUGGCGAACGGGUGAGUAAUGCGUCGGAACGUGCCGAGUAGUGGGGGAUAACGCAGCGAAAGUUGUGCUAAUACCGCAUACGUACUGAGGUAGAAAGUGGGGGACCUUCGGGCCUCACGCUAUUCGAGCGGCCGACGUCUGAUUAGCUAGUAGGUGAGGUAAAGGCUCACCUAGGCGACGAUCAGUAGCGGGUCUGAGAGGAUGAUCCGCCACACUGGGACUGAGACACGGCCCAGACUCCGACGGGAGGCAGCAGUGGGGAAUUUUGGACAAUGGGCGAAAGCCUGAUUCAGCCGUGCCGCGUGUCUGAAGAAGGCCUUCGGGUUGUAAAGGACUUUUGUCGGGGAGGAAAUCCCCAGCGUUAAUACCGCUGGGGGAUGACAGUACCUGAAGAAUAAGCACCGGCUAACUACGUGCCAGCCGCCACCGUAAGAC
rnacentral:rRNA from 1 species